GGGGAUAUAGUUUAGUGGCACAAUGCCUGCUUGGCAAGCAUGAGGUUUUGAGUUUGAUCCCAAGUCCCCU
rnacentral:tRNA from 1 species